AAUUUUUCUGCUGUGCAUUGAUAUCUUUAAACAAACACACUCCAGUACACAUUAAUAACAUAAAAUUUCUAUCUUUUCUGGCAUUUUUUAAACUUUUAAGGUGCAGAUUACUCUUGCAAGGAAGGAAGCAUCUCUGAAGGGUGCAAAGACUGGGCUGCAGGACCAUUUCCUGCUGAUGCCAAUCAGCAGCUUGUUGGAUGGAGACAGGUGUUCCCAAAAUUCAGAAGUUACUCCCAAAACACUUGUGGUUAUCUGCACGGCAGGAACACCUUCUCCUUUGGGGGCCGGGCCUUUCAGAUGCUAGUGGUGCUCAACUUGGGAGAUGCAGGAGACCUCCACUGGUGUUCAUGGCCCGUGACAGAGCCAGAGAGCCUGCUACGUGGGAAGUCUGUCGAGGACUGAGGACCGUUUCUUACUCUUUCAAGAGAGUAUAUUCCAGGGGGCUGGCCCCGUGGCCGAGUGGUUAAGUUCGCACGCUCCGCUGCAGGCGGCCCAGUGUUUCAUUGGUUCGAAUCCUGGGCGCGGACAUGGCACUGCUCAUCAAACCACGCUGAGGCAGCGUCCCACAUGCCACAACUAGAAGGAUCCACAACGAAGAAUAUACAACUAUGUACCGGGGGGCUUUGGGGAGAAAAAGGAAAAAAUAAAAUAUUAAAAAAAAAAAAAGAGAGUAUAUUC
rnacentral:lncRNA from 1 species